rnacentral:rRNA from 1 species
UAAAUGACUCUUGGCAACGGAUAUCUCGACUCUCGCAUCGAUGAAGAACAUAGCGAAAUGCGAUACUUGGUGUGAAUUGCAGAAUCCCGCAAACCAUCGAGUCUUUGAAUGCAAGUUGCGCUCGAAGCCAUUAGGUUGACGGCACGUCUGCCUGGGCGUCUCAC